UUUGACCUCAAAUCAGGCAGGACUACCCGCUGAACUUAAGCAUAUCAAUAAGCGGAGGA
rnacentral:rRNA from 1 species